UUUUGAUCCCGUGAUUUGUACGUCGGUGAGCAACAAGAGCGGUCUGGAUAUUUUUCUCUGUACAACUGACAUCCCCGGCUAGGUGGUUAGUGGGGCAACAAGACUCAUACCCGACGUCGGGACUACCACUGAUUUUAACCACCGUAUUUUUGUCUUGUGACAGCAAAAGAUUGCAACCCGACAUGCUUUGAUCUAGCGGAGAAAUGCUCUGUUGAGGUUUGGCGGGCUUGUAAGACGCGGUGCGGACCCGUCUAGACGGGCGGAGGCGUGACAGAAAAGGGCGCUAGGAAAGAAGCCAUUGCAUGGGCAGAAGUCAUCGCUUGGAAUCUUUAAUCAUCGUAGAGAAGCAAGCAGACUGAAGAAAACAGCAGUGAAGUCAGCGUGUGUACAUACAGAACUGAUAAUGGAUGACGGCAUUCCUACAAAGUGGCUGUACUGUGC